rnacentral:rRNA from 1 species
AUUGAACGCUGGCGGUAUGCCUUACACAUGCAAGUCGAACGGUAGAGGGGCAACCCUUGAGAGUGGCGAACGGGUGAGUAAUACAUCGGAACGUGCCCAGUCGUGGGGGAUAACGUAGCGAAAGCUACGCUAAUACCGCAUACGACCUGAGGGUGAAAGCGGGGGAUCGCAAGACCCCGCGCGAUUGGAGCGGCCGAUGGCAGAUUGGGUAGUUGGUGGGGUAAAGGCCUACCAAGCCUGCGAUCUGUAGCUGGUCUGAGAGGACGACCAGCCACACUGGGACUGAGACACGGCCCAGACGCCUACGGGAGGCAGCAGUGGGGAAUUUUGGACAAUGGGCGCAAGCCUGAUCCAGCCAUACCGCGUGCGGGAAGAAGGCCUUCGGGUUGUAAACCGCUUUUGUCAGGGAAGAAAUCUUCUGGGCUAAUACCCCGGGAGGAUGACGGUACCCGAAGAAUAAGCACCGGCUAACUACGUGCCAGCCGCCGCCGUAACAC